rnacentral:tRNA from 1 species
GGUGCGUUAGUUCAGUUGGUUAGAAUACAUGCCUGUCACGCAUGGGGUCGACGGGUUCGACGUCCCGUACGCACCG